UCCCUGGUGGUCCAGUGGCUAGGACUCUACUCUUUCACUGUAGAGGCCUGGCUUCAAUCCCCGGUUGGGGAA